UGGGGUAAUGCCCUUGGCUAAGAUGAGAUUUACCAAACUGUAUCUCUUCAUAAUGUGUGAGGGGAGGCAGUGCUGGGAAGAUGCUCUUUCCUGCUCAGAAAGAGAAAUUCCUGGGUUUGGAUAACAGCAAUAUCUCGGUGCUGGAGUCCAAUCUGGAUCUGUUAUUCCUAAUCUUCAGUCUCUACUGGAAGUCCUGAACAACCUGCAGGAGGGAGACACAUGGGACAGGAGAUGAGGAGUCACUAAAGGGCAGGUUCAUCACUUCUGCAAUCAUCAUUUAUUCAUGUCGGGAAGCUUGCAGGAAGCAGAGAUAAAUGGAUUUCCGUGAAAUUGGUGCUCCAGGCUGCUCGGGAGCCUCCAUCCUUCUCACCGUGCUCCGGAGCGGGGUGAAAAAGCUUCCCUCUUCAGCUCCUCCACCCUGGUGCUCUGGCACGGCAUCCUCCACGGAGCUGUGCCCUGCCUCGGGCCAGGAUGCAGCGUGGAUGGAUGGAGGGCUCCAGCCCCAAAACCAGGCAAGAGACACUGGGCUCCCUCAUCCCAGCACAUCACAAGGUCUCAGCCCUGCUCAUGGGACAGCUCGUGCAGAGAUAUCUUGCUGUGGGUCCUUGAUUUGCUGGUUUCCCCCUGUUUUAGGGGAGCUUCCUGUUCUCUACAUUAAGGCAAGCAUUUGUUAAAUAUCCUUCUUUUUGUGGAUGUGUGUGUAAUAUCCACCCUUUUCCAGAGGAAAAAUCCCUGCCUUUUGUGCCCCAUGCAAAGGACAACUGGCUGAAAGGGGCUAGUGCUGCAUGAGACCUCACAGCCAUCCUAGAGGCCACAGACUUAGGACCUUUCUGUACCUUCCCAUGUCCAUCAGGGCUGGAAUAGACCUCUCCAGUGCCUACAGGACAUCACAUCCCUGAUGAGGAAUCCUGCAUCCAGAUGGCCCUCGGCCAACUGAAGCUCACCCAAUGCACCCCAGGAUGGCAGAGCAAAGCCCAAACCACCAGAGAUGGAUGUGCCCUCCUUAAAUAAUUCAUGGCUUGAGCUCAUGCUUGGCUUCCUUUGUUAUCUCGUUACGAAUGAAAAACUGAACCAAGAUUAAAGA